rnacentral:tRNA from 1 species
CGCUGCGUCGAACAACUGGCGGCUCUGCAGAUCGAGGCGGCAGAGGCCGAGUUGCAGGCAGGCGCUGGCGGGUUCCGGUUCCGCCGGGACGGC